rnacentral:rRNA from 1 species
GAUGAACGCUGGCGGCGUGCCUAAUACAUGCAAGUCGAACGGGGUAUUUGAGCAAUCGAAUACUUAGUGGCGAACGGGUGAGUAACGCGUUGGUGACCUGCCCCGAAGUGUGGGAUAACAGUCCGAAAGGACUGCUAAUACCGCAUGCGGUCAUCGGGUUUAGAAACCGAUGACCAAAGCAGCAAUGCGCUUUGGGAGGGACCUGCGUCCCAUCAGCUAGUUGGUAGGGUAACGGCCUACCAAGGCUACGACGGGUAGGGGACCUGAGAGGGUGACCCCCCACAAUGGAACUGAAAUACGGUCCAUACACCUACGGGAGGCUG